rnacentral:rRNA from 1 species
AAUCAACGCUGGCGGCGUGCCUAACACAUGCAAGUCGAGCGGGAAAGGGGGCUUCGGCCCCUGAGUAUAGCGGCGGACGGGUGAGUAACACGUGGGUAAUUUGCCCUUGGGUGUGGAAUAACUCAGGGAAACUUGAGCUAAUACCGCAUGACAUCCCCUUCACACACGAGUCGGGGAUCAAAGCCGGGGACCCUUCGGGGCCUGGCGCCUGAGGAGAAGCCCGCGCCCGAUUAGCUAGUUGGGAGGUAAUGGCUCACCAAGGCUUCGAUCGGUAGCCGGCCUGAGAGGGCGGACGGCCACACUGGGACUGAGACACGGCCCAGACUCCUACGGGAGGCAGCAGUGGGGAAUUUUGUCAAUGGGGGAAACCCUGAACAAGCAACGCCGCGUGGAGGACGACGACCU